GGGGCUCUGGCUCAGUGGAAGAACUUCUGUUUUGCAUUCAGAAGACCCCAGUUCAGUCCCUGGUAUCUCCA
rnacentral:tRNA from 1 species